rnacentral:rRNA from 1 species
CCUACGGGAGGCAGCAGUGGGGAAUAUUGCGCAAUGGGCGAAAGCCUGACGCAGCGACGCCGCGUGAGGGAUGAAGGUCUUCGGAUCGUAAACCUCUGUCAGCAGGGAAGAACGGUCACUGUGCUAAUCAGCAGUGAAUUGACGGUACCUGCAAAGGAAGCACAGGCCAACUCCGUGCCAGCAGCCGCGGGAAUACGGAGGGUGCGAGCGUUAAUCGGAAUUACUGGGCGUAAAGCGCUCGUAGGCGGUAUGACAAGUUAAGGGUGAAAUCCCCGCGCUCAACGUGGGAACUGCCUUUGAAACUGGCAAACUGGAGUGUGUGAGAGGAUAGUGGAAUUCCAGGUGUAGGGGUGAAAUCCGUAGAUAUCUGGAGGAACAUCAGUGGCGAAGGCGACUAUCUGGCACAUAACUGACGCUGAGGAGCGAAAGCGUGGGUAGCGAACGGGAUUAGAUACCCUAGUAGUC